rnacentral:lncRNA from 1 species
UUUUGAAGAAAAGUCCCAACAUCGAUCUAAAGUUCUGCACCACUCAGUUGAUCAUCACCCCACAUACCAAAAUCCUACCAACAAAACAACUCUGAAUGAUCCGACAUCAUAAUCAUUCCCUCACGAGCCGUGUCAAUUUCUUGACAUGUGCCAUGUUAAAAGUUAGUGCAUUCGAAUCCUAUGAAGAAGAACUAGUCGUUCGGAGUCCGUUAAUAGAGUCGUUGAAGAGUCCGUUAAUAGAGUCGUUGAGUUUCUUCAGGAGUUUUUUUAUAUCACUAGCUACUAUAUAAAGAGUUAGUGACCUUCCCUCAUGUACUUCACUUUCAUUAUUCAAGUGAGAAAUAAAGCAGUAGUUCUCUUAUUUUGUUCUUCAUUCUUUAAUCAAGUAUUCUGUUCCUGGUUCCAUUUAUUUGUUAUAUGGUAUCUAGAGCUUGGUUCAUAACAGGGGGUUUAUUGUUACUUAGUCAAACAAAGUUGCUCACAGGGUGUUUGUUGUUAUUACUCAGUGAAAGUGUUGUGCUGUUUGGAGUAUUUUUUCAGUCUUUUAAGAUGAACGGUGGAAGUAGUUCUUCUCAGGUUGCUGUUGAGAAGUUGGUUGCUGAUAACUACAGUUAUUGGAAGCUGUGCAUGGAGGCCUAUUUACAAGGGCAGGACUUGUGGGAGCUUAUCUUUGGUGUGGAAACUGUAAUUCCAGAAGAUACUCCGCAAAAUGGCGAGCUCCGACGAAAGUGGAGGAUUAAGUGCGGAAAAGCCUUAUUUGCUUUGAGGACUUCGAUAAGCAAAGAAUACAUUCAACAUGUUCGUGAGAUGAAUUCACCAAAGCAAGUGUGGGAGACACUCGAAAGAUUUUUACUCAAAAGAAUACGAUGAGGCUGCAAUUUCUGGAGAACGAACUUGCUGGAAUGAUUCAAGGUAAUCUGUCAAUUCCAGAGUAUUUUGUGAAAGUUAAAACUUUAUGUUCUGAAGUUUCAGAGUUAGAUUCGGAGGAGCCUAUCAGCGAUGCACGCUUGCGUCAUUAUCUUAUUCGUGGAUUGAGGAAAGAGUUCAUGCCAUUCAUUUCAUCGGUCCAAGGGUGGGCAGACCAGCCAUCCAUCAUUGAUUUAGAAAACCUUCUUUCGAAUCAGGAAGCUUUGGUGAAACAAAUGUCCAGUAAUCCUCACUCUCAAGAAGAUAAUGCUCUUUAUACUAGAGAUCAGGGGAAGCAUAAGUCUCCAUCCAAGCAGUUUGGAAAUGAAAGGGAACCGAGGGACAGUACUAAAACAUGUUUUCGAUGUGGAAAGGAGGGGCAUUUCAAGUGUGACUGCCGCGUGAAGGUGACUUGUUCUCGAUGUGGCAAAUCAGGUCAUAUCAAGAAAUUCUGUCGAGUAAAGCUUCGUGACGAGGACACCAAUACAGCUUAUGAAGUUGAAGAGUCUGAUGAUACAAAUGGGAGCAAUGUUUUUCUAUUGAAGUUAUUGAUCAACCAGCAGAUAUGGCUUCUGUAAUGCACCCAACUGAGGGUACUGAUAUUAAUUAUGAGAAGGAGUGGAUCGUUGACUCGGGGUGUUCCCAUCAUGCCACAGGAGAUGUUACUUUACUUUCCGAUGUUCGACCACAUGAAGGAAAAUGAGUUACUAUGACGGCUGACAAUUCAUUACAUCCUGUAAUGAAAGAAGGAAACUUCAAUGUUGAUAGUUUAAAUGAUAUUGAACGUGUCUCUCUCAAGGAUGUCUAUCAUGUUCCUGGUCUAAAGAAGAAUCUCGCAUCAGUUUCUCAAAUAACGGACAGCAGUAAGUAUGUGUUGUUUGGUCCAAAUAAUGUCCAAAUUCUUGAUCAAUUGAAACAUGUUGCUGCUAAUGUUUUUUCACUGGAAGAAAGAAGAAUUCUUUGUAUGUUUUAUCUGCCAGCGAAGCAUAUAUUCAAAAGACCAGCAAGAAUACAAGUCCUUCAGUUUGGCAUGCUCGGCUAGGCCACGUUGGCUACCAGUUGCUACAACAGAUUUCCACCAAAAUCUGCUUGAUGGUGUUCCUUUCUUCAAGGAUUUCAAUACAAAUGUAAUCUGUGUUGGUUGUCAAUAUCGAAAGUCGCAUAGGCUUCCAUUCCAGAAAUCAACAAAUCGAGCGACAUGUGUGCUUCAGCUAGUUCAUUCAGAUCUAAUGGGGCCUACAAAAACACCAAGCUACAGUGGGUUUCAGUAUGCAAUGAUCAUGGUGGAUGACUUCUCUCGUUUUACUUGGGUCUAUUUUUUACACCAGAAGAGUGAAGCAUUCCCUAAAUUCAUUCAAUUCAAGCGACAAGUAGAGCAGGAGUUUGGCCAGACUAUAAAGUGUUUGCGUACUGAUAAUGGGGGUGAAUACAUGAGAAUUUCUCACAUACUGUGACCAACAAAGAAUUCAACGACAAUUGACAUGUCCAAAUACGCCACAGCAAAAUGGCGUGGUUGAGCGGAAGUUAGCCCAUCUCACUGUUGUUUGCUUGUCUUGGUUGCAUGAGAAACGCCUUCCAAGGGAGUUGUGGGCUGAAGCUAUGCAAUGUGCGUGUCAUGUCAUAAAUCGGUAACCCUCAUGGCCAGGUAAAGAAGCUUCUCCGUUUGAACUGGUUUAUAUCACGAAACCAAAUGUGAGUUAUUUUCGGGUGUUUGGUUCACUUUGUUAUGUUCAUGUCCCUAAAAGUAGUCGCACCAAGCUUGAUCCCAAGGCCCGAAAAUGUGUUUUUGUUGGCUAUGAUUCAAGACGUAAAGGCUGGCGAUGUAUGGAUCCUCAAACAAAACAGUUUAUUAUUUCGCGUGAUGUAGUUUUUGAUGAGGUUUCAUCAUAUUAUGCUGCUGAAAAUUUGGGGAGUGAUGUUGUCCCUCUAGCCAUUCUCUAAUGGUAUUGUUUCCAGAGAAAGGGGGAGCAACAACUUGUUAUCUGCACCACCAGUUCAACAAGACCAAGCUGAAAUUCGGAGGUCAACAAGGGAAAGGAGGCAACCUGAGUAUCUCCAUGAUUUUGAAGGUCAUGUCAACUAUUCUAGUGUUACUUCUUGUUUUCUCUUCGGUAUGUCAUGUGAUGAUAGUGCACCUCAGUGUUACAAAGAAGCUAAAGGAGUAGCUGAAUGGGAAGCAGCUAUGCAUGAAGAAAUAAGGGCUCUGCGUCAAAACGACACAUGGGAGCUAGUACCAAAGCCAAAUGACGCUGAGCUGGUCACAUGCAAAUGGAUUUUCAAACUGAAAAAGAAGGUUGAUGGGACGGUUGACAGGUACAAAGCGCGCUUCGUUGCACGUGGUUUUUCUCAGCAAUAUGGCCUGGAUUAUGAGGAGACAUUCAGUCCAGUUGCUAAGAUGGUAAUAAUUCGCACUAUCAUUUCAUUGGCUGCAUAUAACAGAUGGAACCUAUGGCAACUUGAUGUGAAAAAUGCUUUUCUUUAUGGUGAGUUGGAUCGUGCAAUCUUUAUGGAGCAGCCCCAAGGCUUUAUUUCACAUGAGUUUCCAAAUCAUGUGUGCCGACUCAAGAAGGCCUUAUACGGUCUCAAGCAAGCCCCACGUGCCUGGUAUGGUCAAAUUGCGCAAUACCUUUCUUUUUGUGGCUUUCAUUCUUCGAGCUCAGAUCCUAGUUUAUUUUUCAAGGUCACUUCUUCCAUGUACACCAUUCUUCUUUUUUAUGUGGAUGAUAUGAUAAUCAGCGGUGACAAUGAUGCUGAAAUUUUACAUCUGCGAGAUGAAUUAUCUAUUCGAUUUGAAAUGAAGAAUCUCGGGGAGGCUCAUUCCUUCCUUGGAUUAGAAAUUAUUAAAACAGAUGGAUACUUUCUUUGUCAAGGGUCUUAUGCAUCAAGUUUGUUAGAACGUUUUGGCAUGGCAGAUUCAACGCCACUCACUACACCAAUGGAGCCACUACAGAAAAUUGAAGGUGAGCCACUGGAGGAUUCCACCAAGUACCGCCAACUUGUGGGUAGUCUGUUCUAUCUAACUAUCACACGCCCUGAUUUGGCAUAUUCAGUUGGAGUUGUUUCUCAGUUUAUGGACAAUCCAUGUGAUGGACAUUUGAUUGCGGCAAAGAGAAUUCUUCGUUAUGUGAAAAGCACACUGCAGUUUGGUCUUCUCUAUAAACCAAAAGUCUCCUUGUCUUUGUAUGGUUUCACGGAUGCUGAUUGGGCUGGCGAUGUCAUUACUCGACGUUCGACAACUGGGUAUUGCUUUUCUCUUGGCUCUGCUGUUGUUUCUUGGUGUAGUAAGAAACAACAAACGGUCUCUCUUUCUAGCACCGAAGCUGAAUAUGUGGCAGCCACUACGGCCACCCAGGCGACUCGUUCAAGAUAUUGGUGUUCGUAUGGAUUAUCCAAUUCCUAUUGGUUGCGACAAUGAAAGCACAAUCAAGCUAGCAGGUAAUCCAGUGUUUCAUGCCCGUACUAAGCACAUAGAAAUUCACCACCAUUUUGUCCGUGAAAAAGUGUAAGGACAAGUGAUCAAGUUGCUGAUGUAUUGACAAAAGCUCUUCCAAGAGCUAACUUUGAAUUGUUUCGCAGUGCUCUAGGCCUUACUGAGCGUGCGUCUGCACUAUGGGGGAGUGUUAAAAGUUAGUGCAUCCGAAUCCUAUGAAGAAGAACUAGUCGUUCGGAGUCCGUUAAUAGAGUCGUUGAAGAGUGAACUAGUGGUUGAAGAGUCCGUUAAUAGAGUCGUUGAGUUUCUUCAGGAGUUUUUUUAUAUCACUAGCUUAAUAAAGAGUUAGUGACCUUCCCUCAUGUACUUCACUUUCAUUAUUCAAGUGAGCAAUAAAGCAGUAGUUCUCUUAUUCUGUUCUUCAUUCUUUAAUCAAGUAUUCUGUUCCUGGUUCCAUUUAUUUGUUAUAUGCCAGUAUGACAUCAUUUUCUUCAAUGGUAUUCCACAUUUGAUGAUUAUUCUGACAGUAUGGCUUAUCUAAGCUGCCAACUGCUUAUUUAGAUAUCUAUAUCAAUCCAUAACUCAACUUCAUCUAUGGUGUAGGAUAAAGGUUACAUUAUGUAUCCAGCCAAAUUUUCAGAGGCUGUACUCUUUUAACUUUCAGCUCAACCAAAGUCUCAACUUUCAACUUCGACACAGUUUUGCUAAAAACUUACCAGGGCAGAAUCCUUAACUCAUGCAAUAUAACACUGCUGUUUGCCAAGCAUUUAAUUUUCUCCUUA